GCAAUGCUGAUUACCAAAUUGUGUUAAGCUUAUACUUUAAAGUGCAGAUCAGCGAGCAAAUUAGUAAAAUGACUCCACAUUUUCUCACGUUGCACUGUUUUGGUGUUACAAAUGAGAAUGACACCAUAAAUUGGUGUUAAUAUUGCUCCCAAAGGUGUAGAAUUCACACUUUACUUUUUUGUGUGUAUUAGGUUUAGACUGUAUUGAGACGACAUAUGUAUGUAAAAUGUGUAUCGGUAGCUAUUAAGUAUACAAAGCAUGUGAACCUUACUUAAUGCUACUGUAAGAAUGUAGAUGUCAAAUGUCUUAACGUGAGAUGAGCAUCACCCGCAUGAAGUUAAAAGAGCUCAUAUAUUAAUUCCGGAAAAAGUAAAAUUAAUUCGAUGAUUGAGUCGGUUAAUUGAUAGAGUUAAAACAAUUGGAAUUUCAUCAUCGGACCACAUUAUUCCACACACAUUGCUGCGAAAUAAGAAUCUUUCAUGAAAUGAAACACUUUAUCGUGUUAUUGAUAUUUGCAAAACAUUUGAGUCGGCAAAUAUUUACAAGGGCAUUUUGGAUUCCAAGAAACAAACAGUUGCUGUUGCGCUAUCAUCGCAGAACAAUGAACCGGAUUUAAUCAAUCGUCGUUUCUGUUUCAACUGUGGUGGUGAUUGGAAAUCGGAGCACAAAAGCAAAUGUCCAACCAAUGAUCACACAUGUCAAUGUGAGAAGAAGGGACAUUUUCGCAAGAUGUGUCGACCUAAUAAAAACAAACCAGAAUCAUAUGCAUCAGAGUCGAAGGCAAAUGGAAAACAACGAGAGAAAUGGCAGUGUUGCCAACACAUCCUAAGGAAUUUUGCGAAAGAAUUCAACAUUCAUUAUUUGACGAAAUUGUGAACGGGUAACGAUCAAAUUGUGCUCACAUAGUUUUACUAAUAUUAAUAGCGCCAACUAAGAUUAUAUUUUAAUUAAAUCAAAGAGGCUAAAUCUAAUAUAUACGUUAAUGUGAAAAACGUCAACCAGAGGGUAGAAAUUUUAUACAUACUUAUAAGUACGUACACACAAAAAAAUUUUGGUGUCAAAACAGCACUCUUCGAUGUUGCUGUAAAGGUGUAAUUUUAACUCUUAACUAUUCCCCAAAAUUUGCCCCCACAUAAAGGCUGGAAUGAAACGGAACUCGUAUUUAAUUAAUUUUUUAUUCAGUUCAAAAACUAUUUUCAUAUAUUAUUUAGAUAAAAAUUACAUGCGUUAUUAUUAUGUAUAUAUUAGAAUUAAUAUGAUAGCAAUCAUAAGGCUUUUUAAA
rnacentral:lncRNA from 1 species